rnacentral:snoRNA from 1 species
GUUGGUUGAAAAUCAUCCUUGGCUUGGCCAUGGCGGUGGGUGAGAUUCAGUGCCCAGAGCCACCAGAGCCUCAGCUCACUGCUCACUGCCUCAGGUGCGAGGGGGAAACCCAGGCCCUGACAGUG